GACGAACGCUGGCGGCGUGCUUAACACAUGCAAGUCGAACGGAAAGGCCCUGCUUUUGUGGGGUGCUAGAGUGGCGAACGGGUGAGUAACACGUGAGUAACCUGCCCUUGACUUUGGGAUAACUUCAGGAAACUGGGGCUAAUACCGGAUAGGAGCUCCUGCUGCAGGGUGGGGGUUGGAAAGUUUCGGAGGUUGGGGAUGGACUCGCGGCUUAUCAGCUUGUUGGUGGGGUAGUGGCUUACCAAGGCUUUGACGGGUAGCCGGCCUGAGAGGGUGACCGGCCACAAUGGUACUGAGAUACGGCCCAGACUCCUACGGGAGGCAGCAGUGGGGAAUAUUGUACAAUGGUCGGAAGCCUGAUGCAGCAACGCCGCGUGCGGGAUGACGGCCUUCGUGUUGUAAACCGCUUUCGCCUGUGACGAAGCGUGAGUGACGGUAAUGGGUAAAGAAGCACCGGCUAACUACGUG
rnacentral:rRNA from 1 species